CUAGUUGGUGAGGUAACGGCUCACCAAGGCGACGACGGGUACCGGGACUGAGAGGUCGGUCCGGCGCAUUGGGACUGAGACACUGCCCAGACUCCUACGGGAGGCUGCAGUAACGAAUCUUCCGCAAUGGGCGAAAGCCUGACGGAGCGACGCCGCGUGUGGGAUGAAGAUCUUCGGAUUGUAAACCACUGUCAGGGAUUACCAAGCGAUGGGGACUAACAGCCCCCGGAGUUGAGGAGUCCCAGAGGAAGCCACGGCUAACUUCGUGCCAGCAGCCGCGGUAAGACGAAGGUGGCAAGCGUUGUUCGGAAUCACUGGGCUUAAAGAGCAUGUAGGCGGCUCAUCAAGCGUCUUGUGAAAUCCCUCGGCUCAACCGAGGAAUUGCUGGGCGGACUGACUGAGCUUGAGGCAGGUAGGGGCGCGUGGAACUCUUGGUGGAGCGGUGGAAUGCGUAGAUAUCAAGAGGAACGCCAGAGGCGAAAGCGAUGCGCUGGGCCUGUCCUGACGCUGAGAUGCGAAAGCCAGGGGAGCAAACGGGAUUAGAUACCCCGGUAGUCCUGGCCCUAAACGAUGUCUACUAGGUCGGAGGCACUCUGACGUGUUUCUGGCCGAAAUGAAAACGGUAAGUAGACCGCCUGGGGAGUACGGUCGCAAGGCUAAAACUCAAAGGAAUUGACGGGGGCUCACACAAGCGGUGGAGCAUGUUGCUUAAUUCGAUACAACGCGAAGAACCUUAUCCUGGGCUUGACAUGCUUGGAUACCUACCCGGAAACGGACUAGGUUGCCCUUCGGGGUGAAACUUGCACAGGUGCUGCAUGGCUGUCGUCAGCUCGUGUCGUGAGAUGUUGGGUUAAGUCCCGUAACGAGCGAAACCCUUGUCGCUAGUUGCCAGCGAGUAAUGUCGGGGACUCUAGCGAGACUGCCGGUGUUAAACCGGAGGAAGGUGGGGAUGACGUCAAGUCCUCAUGGCCUUUAUGCCCAGGGCUGCAAACGUGCUACAAUGACCGGUACAAACCGACGCAAAACCGCGAGGUCGAGCAAAUCGGAAAAAGCCGGCCCCAGUUCGGAUUGGAGUCUGCAACUCGACUCCAUGAAGUUGGAAUCGCUAGUAAUCGCUGAUCAGCUAUGCUGCGGUGAAUGUGUUCCUGAGCCUUGUACACACCGCCCGUCUAGUCAUGGGAGCUGGUAGCACCCGAAGUCGGCACGC
rnacentral:rRNA from 1 species